UACGUAGGGUGCAAGCGUUGUCCGGAAUUAUUGGGCGUAAAGAGCUCGUAGGCGGUCUGUCGCGUCUGACUGUGAAAACUCAGGGCUUAACCCUGAGCUUGCAGUGGGUACGGGCAGACUAGAGUGCGGUAGGGGAGACUGGAAUUCCUGGUGUAGCGGUGAAAUGCGCAGAUAUCAGGAGGAACACCGGUGGCGAAGGCGGGUCUCUGGGCCGGAACUGACGCU
rnacentral:rRNA from 1 species